CAGCCGCCGCGGUAAUACGUAGGUCCCGAGCGUUGUCCGGAUUUAUUGGGCGUAAAGCGAGCGCAGGCGGUUAGAUAAGUCUGAAGUUAAAGGCUGUGGCUUAACCACAGUACGCUUUGGAAACUGUUUAACUUGAGUGCAGAAGGGGAGAGUGGAAUUCCAUGUGUAGCGGUGAAAUGCGUAGAUAUAUGGAGGAACACCGGUGGCGAAAGCGGCUCUCUGGUCUGUAACUGACGCUGAGGCUCGAAAGCGUGGGGAGCAAACAGAAUUAGAUACCCGCGUAGUCCCUGUCUCUUAUACC
rnacentral:rRNA from 1 species